rnacentral:rRNA from 1 species
UACCAGCACCCCGAGUGGUCGGGACGAUUAUUGGGCCUAAAGCAUCCGUAGCCGGUUUUACAAGUCCUCCGUUAAAUCCAGCUGCUUAACAGAUGGGCUGCGGAGGAUACUAUAAGACUAGGAGGCAGGAGUGGCAAGCGGUACUCAGUGGGUAGGGGUAAAAUCCGUUGAUCCAUUGAAGACCACCAGUGGCGAAGGCGGCUUGCCAGAAUGCGCUCGACGGUGAGGGAUGAAAGCUGGGGGAGCAAACCGG